rnacentral:rRNA from 1 species
AAGUCGAACGAAGUAGCAAUACUUAGUGGCAGACGGGUGAGUAACAUGUAGGUAUCUGCCCUAUGGCCUGGAAUAACACGAGGAAACUUGUGCUAAUACCGGAUAAGUCUUUACGGAGAAAGCUUUAUGCACCAUUGGAUGAGCCUGCACUUGAUUAGUUUGUUGGUGGGGUAAUGGCCUACCAGGACUGUGAUCAAUAGCUGAUUUGAGAGGAUGAUCAGCCACAUUGGGACUGAGACACGGCCCAAACUCCUACGGGAGGCAGCAGUGGGGAAUCUUGCACAAUGGAGGAAGCUCUGAUGCAGCGAUGCCGCGUGAGUGAAGAAGGCCUUUGGGUUGUAAAGCUCUUUCGUCGGGGAAGAAAAUGACUGUACCCGAAUAAGAAGGUCCGGCUAACUUCGUGCCAGCAGCCGCGGUAAUACGAAGGGACCUAGCGUAGUUCGGAAUUACUGGGCUUAAAGAGUUCGUAGGUGGUUGAAAAAGUUGGUGGUGAAAUCCCAGAGCUUAACUCUGGAACUGCCAUCAAAACUUUUCAGCUAGAGUAUGAUAGAGGAAAGCAGAAUUUCUAGUGUAGAGGUGAAAUUCGUAGAUAUUAGAAAGAAUACCAAUUGCGAAGGCAGCUUUCUGGAUCAUUACUGACACUGAGGAACGAAAGCAUGGGUAGCGAAGA